GUGGGGAAUUUUGGACAAUGGGCGAAAGCCUGAUCCAGCAAUGCCGCGUGUGUGAAGAAGGCCUUCGGGUUGUAAAGCACUUUUGUCCGGAAAGAAAUCUGUCUGGCUAAUACCUAGAUGGGAUGACGGUACCGGAAGAAUAAGCACCGGCUAACUACGUGCCAGCAGCCGCGGUAAUACGUAGGGUGCGAGCGUUAAUCGGAAUUACUGGGCGUAAAGCGUGCGCAGGCGGUUUUGUAAGACCGAUGUGAAAUCCCCGGGCUUAACCUGGGAACUGCAUUGGGGACUGCAAGGCUAGAGUGCGUCAGAGGGGGGUGGAAUUCCGCGUGUAGCAGUGAAAUGCGUAGAUAUGCGGAGGAACACCGAUGGCGAAGGCAAUCCCCUGGGCCUGCACUGACGCUCAUGCACGAAAGCGUGGGGAGCAAACAGGAUUAGAAACCCUGGUAGUCC
rnacentral:rRNA from 1 species